rnacentral:rRNA from 1 species
GAUGAACGCUGGCGGCGUGCCUAAUACAUGCAAGUCGAGCGAACAGAUGAGGAGCUUGCUCCUCUUUCGUUAGCGGCGGACGGGUGAGUAACACGUGGAUAACCUAUCUAUAAGACUUGGAUAACUUCGGGAAACCGGAGCUCAUACCGUAUAAUCUAUUGAACCGCAUGGUUCAAUAGUGAAAUAUGGUUUUUCUGUCACUUAUAGAUGUAUCCGCGCCGCAUUAGCUAGUUGGUAAGGUAACGGCUUACCAAGUCAACGAUGCGUAGCCGACGGGGGAGAGUGGUCGGCCACAUGGGAGCUGAACCAGGGUCCAGACGCCUGAGGGACGGAGCAGAAGGGAAUGGGCCGCAAUGGGCGAAAGCAUGGCGGAGCAACGGCGCGUGAGAGGUGGAGGUGUUGGGAGCGUAAAAAUGUGUUAUUAGGGAUGAACAAAUGUGUAAGGAAAUGUACACGGCUUGACGGUACCUGAUCAGAAAGCCACGGCUAACUACGUG